UUAAUAGCUUAUAUCAGAGCUUGAUACUGAAGAUAUCACGGAGGUAGAUUUACUUUAGAAUACUUAU
rnacentral:tRNA from 1 species